UUGAAAUGGUAGGGGAUGACUUGUGGCUAGCGGAGAAAUUCCAAUCGAACCCGGAGAUAGCUGGUUCUCUCCGAAAUAGCUUUAGGGCUAGCCUCAAUUAACAUUACCGCAGGUAAAGCACUGAAUGAGCUAGGGGGCGAAAGCUUACUGAACUCUAUCAAACUCAGAAUGGCGGAUAAUGAAUGAUUGGGAGUCACACUACGUGAGAUAAGUUUCGUGGUGGAAAGGGAAACAGCCCAGACCCACAGCUAAGGUCCCAAAGUACAGUUAAGUGGAAAAGGAUGUGAAAUCGCGCAGACAACCAGGAUGUUGGCUCAGAAGCAGCCACUCAUUCAAAGAGUGCGUAAUAGCUCACUGGUCGAGUGAUUUUGCGCCGAAAAUUUAACGGGGCUAAACUGUACACCGAAGCUUGGGAAUAUACAUUUGUAUGUUGGUAGGAGAGCGUUGUGUAAGGGGUGAAGUCGUAGCGAAAGCGGCGGUGGACUUUACACAAGUGAGAAUGCCGGAAUGAGUAGCGAGAAUUAUGUGAGAAUCAUAAUGGCCGAAAGACUAAGGUUUUAGAAGGAAGGUUCGUCCGCUUCUAGUUAGCCGGGAGCUAAGGCGAGGCCGAGAGGCGUAGUCGAUGCACAUACGGUUGAGAUUCCGUAGCUACCUUGCAUUUAAGCGAAGGGACACAUUUGAAGGGCAUGACCCGGGCGUUGGUUGACCCGGGCGUAAGGGACCGAAAAUAAGUAGGGAAGCAUGCUUGGAUGGUGGCGAGAAAAGCUUCGUGUAUAUAAGCAGGGUACCCGUACUGCAAACCGACACAGGUAGUCAGGAAGAGGAUUCUAAGGCCAUCGGGAGAAGCGUUGUUAAGGAACUCGGCAAAUUGACCCCGUAACUUCGGAAUAAGGGGUGCUCACGCGAGUGAGCCGCAGUGAAUAGGUCCAGGCAACUGUUUAUCAAAAACACAGCUCUCUGCUAAAUCGUAAGAUGACGUAUAGGGGGUGACACCUGCCCGGUGCUGGAAGGUUAAGAGGAGGGGUGCAAGCUCCGAAUUGAAGCCCCAGUAAACGGCGGCCGUAACAAUAACGGUCCUAAGGUAGCGAAAUUCCUUGUCGGGUAAGUUCCGACCCGCACGAAUGGUGUAAUGAUCUGGACACUGUCUCAACAACGCACCCGGCGAAAUUGUAGUACCGGUGAAGAUGCCGGUUACCCGCGGCAAGACGGAAAGACCCCAUGGAGCUUCACUGUAGCCUGAUAUUGGGUCUCG
rnacentral:rRNA from 1 species